AUCGGCUAGACUUUAUAAACUUGAACUCUAAUUGAUGUUAGUUUAGGGUUUUGUAAAUAUAUCUUGUUUUUUAGGGUGAAAUCGGGAAUUUUUAUUGAUAAUGCUCUAAUCUUUAAGAUUUGGUGAAUGAAUCAGAUUAGUACCUGAUUAAACAAAAAUUAAAAGAGCAGGAGUAAAGUUGUAUUUAAACUGUAAGAAUAUUGGCAGGUUUUUAAAUUAUCUUUGGAGGUUGAGUAGUAAUUGAGAGCCCUCAUUAACAACUUUUACUGUAGGCGCAUGUAUGAUCGUUUAUUUUAUUCUUAAGGAUUGUAAUUUUAGAUUAACUAUUUUCUGUAAAAAUAGAUAAAUACUUGGUAUAUGUAAAAGAUUUAAUUUGACCUACAAUAUGCUAUUUUGUGGAUACUUUUUUAGUAGAAGGUUGAAAAUGUAAAAGACAGUAAGUUUUUUUUUAUAUAAAGCUGAAGUUUAUUUAAAAACGGUACAAAACAUC
rnacentral:rRNA from 1 species